UAUGUCUAUGGUCAGCACGUCUGGUAGCAUCUCUGGCUGCUGUUGAUCUUGUUUUUGGAGUAAAACACGGUGGAAGCUGAAUUAGUGAGGAUGACUCCUGCUCCUGUCAUCUCUAAGCUCCUCACACAUCUUUACCUGCACAUGAGGAAAAUCACUCCUGUAGAAUGCAGAUGUUCAGAGGGAGAUGAUGCCACAUCUGGUCCAGCUGAUGGAAGGUCUUGAAGUUCUCUGACUGGCCUCGACUGAAGAUGGUCGUCUCACUGGAUUUAAGGUUCAGAUGCUCAGUAACAAACUCCACCAAUGAGCCAACAGGGAAGCUUUAGGUUUAUUAAAUGUUGCUAUGAAGGUAUCGCUGUUUUUCUUUGUGAAUGCAAUGUGCUCCAACUGAAACUUGAAUUAGAACUUUGAAGUAAAUCCUUCCAUCUGAAAGGAUUUAGUUGCAUUAAUAACCUCAUAACAUUCUAAUUUUUAUUCCAGUCUUAGUUGGAAAUAGAAUCUCUGUAUUGAUUCAGGUAAUAACUGAACUUCACAGCAUGUUGAAGCAAAACAACCAGAUGAAAACUGUGAUGGUGUUGGAUUGUCAGACCGUAAUGUUGCAGCUCAAAGCAGCUUUUCUAUCUCAGUUCAUUCUGACAUUCAGCUAUGAAUCAACACAGCAGAUGGUGAGCCAUGCUGUGGAAGUCUCACAUCUCCUGAUUUAAUGGAGCUGCUUUGCACUUUUUACACUGUUUAUUCACCAACACUUUAUUUAAUACAAGUCCCAUCUAGUUUUCAUGAGGAAUGUGAUGUUUUAAUGUCUCUGUGAAUAACUGCAGUCUAAUGCAACAGCUGGAGUUGUAACAUCUGUCCUGAUAUUGAUCAUGAAGUAUUGAUCAGAAUACUUAUGGUCAGCAGUCAUUCCUGAAGUUUUACAUUAAAAUCUUUACUUGUGUUGUGAACUUUAGUAAGAAGCAGAAACGUUAGCGUUGCCAUGGAUACAUGAGUGUUAAAUUCUGUCCAUGUUUCCAUUUUGGGAAAUGCAGUCCAGUUCCAGAAUGUGGAGAAAUUUAGUCUCACAAUCACAGACAAAAAAUAUUAUCUGAAAGUCGGGUUAUUGUUGUUUAUCAGCACAAUACAAAAAGAUUAAUGUUAGAAAUAUUCCAGUUCAGACUCUAGAAUAUCAUGAUUUAUGUAAAUUUACCUCAAUAAUAUGAAUGUUCAGGUUAAGAUUAUACAGCGAUAUUUAUUAUGUAAGUUUAGCUGAUUAAAGUUUAUGACUCUGCACUAAAAUAUUAUUUAAAUUGACAUCAUUAUUCUAAUAUUGAGGGUCAGACCCAGUAUUGAGAUAAAGAAAUCAAAUAUUCUAUAAAAUGUAAAUACACUGAACUCAUUUGGAUAUAUUUAAGUGAGACUCUACAAUAUUAUUUGACACAAAUCUAUCUAAAUCAAAAGUUUAAUAAUUUUCAUGUCAAACAUUUACUGGACUGAUUUAAAUAAUAAAAUCACUCCUUUCUAAUCCUCUGCUGUACGUUCAAACCUGAGGCCUUAAAUAGAAACACACAAGUAUCUGUUUGAAGGAACUUCUGCAGAGUCCUGGUUCCAGAACAUGAUGAUAGAAUUAUAGCCAAACUUUAACAAAAGCUGCCUGAGAGUUUACAGGUUUUUAUGUUGGAUUUCUUCAGUAAUUUAAUGAGCGUUAUCAGCAAUAAUCAAGUGUUCAUUUGAUGAACUUCAUUUCCUAAAACAUCCAGAAUUGGAGCUCAUAUCUUUGGCAGCUGUAAAGUUUCUGCUCCUUCAAAGUUCACAACACAAUGAAUUAAUUCCUAAAACACUCUCAGUGCUGGAGAACAUUUGAUGCUGAAGCAGUGAUCAGUUUUUCUGUUUCUUCUCUGGAGAUGCACCAUGAGGGACGUCUGCAGCGACUGAGAAAGAGUCUCGCCACAUCCUUACAUGAGGAAAAAGACUUUAUUGAAGACUACAAUGAGAAAAAAUAUCAGACAGCAGACGGCUGCAUUCAAGGCUACAGGAGGAGCCCUACGAGGACGAGCUGGUCCACCUGAUGGCGGCCAGUCGCUGCGGUUCAAAGCCAACACCGACUACGUGGACUUCUACUGGACCACACGGAGACCUUCAAACCGGACCAACAAGUUCAUCGACUCCCCGACUCGUGGGUCUGAGGACGCCGCCGAGCCUCGGCCCAGCCGGCCUCCUGUCUGUGGGUGUUUGAGUGCUGAGAGGUUUGUGGAUGCAUGUGAACGUUCUGUGUUGAAACAGCAGCUUUGGACUCAGUAACGCCAGGAAAAACCAAGAGCUCCUUUAUUUGUGACUUCCACUAAAAAACUGAUGAAAAUAAGUUUGCCAGGG
ensembl:lncRNA